ensembl:lincRNA
CUACGCGCUGUUCUGGCACAUGCUCCCAUACCUGACCUGAUUCGUGAGUUUUUUCUCAUUUUCACGGGCAUAUUCGUGGGUUUUUUCUAGUUUUCGUGGGCAUAUGCGUGGGUGUUUUCUCAUUUGCGCGGGCAUAUUCGUGGGUUUUUCUCGUUUUCGUGGGCAUAUUCGUGGGUGUUUUCUCAUUUUCCCGGGCAUAUUCGUGGGUUUUUCUAGUUUUCGUGGGCAUAUGCGUGGGUUUUUUCUCAUUUGCGCGGGCAUAUUCGUGGGUUUUUCUCGUUUUCGUGGGCAUAUCCGUGGGUUUUUUCUCAUUUUCCCGGGCAUAUCCGUGGGUUUUUUCUCAUUUUCCCGGGCAUAUUUGUGGAUUUUUUUCUCGUUUGUGCAGGCGUAUUUGUGGGGUUUUUUUCUCGUUUUCGCGGGCGUAUUCAUGGUUUUUCACAUUUUCAUGGGCAUAUUCGUGGGGUUUUCCUCGUUUUCACGGGCAUAUUCGUGGGUUUUUUUCUUGUUAUCGGGGCAUAUUCGUGGAUUUUUUUCUCGUUUGCGCGGGCAUAUUCGUGGGUUUUUUCUAGUUUUCGGAUACAUAUUCGUGGGUUUUUUCUCGUUUGUGCGGGCAUAUUCGUGGGUUUUUUCUCGUUUUCGGGGGCAGAUUCGUGGGUUUUUUUUCGCGGUUUUUUCUCGUUUUCACGGGCAUAUUCGUGGAUUCUUUAGCCGUUGUUUUGUGGGCUUAUUCGUGUUUUUCGCAUUCUCAUGUGCAUAUGCGUGUUUUUUUUCUCGUUUUCGCGGGCAUAUUCGUGGGUUUUUUCUCGUUUUCGUGGGCAUAUUCGUGGUUUUUUUCUCGUUUUCGCAGACGUAUUCGUGGUUUUCUUCUAGUUUUCGUGGGCAUAUUCGUGGGUUCUUUAGCCGUUGUUUUGACGGCUUAUUCAUGUUUUUUCAGAUUUUCAUGGGCAUAUGCGUGUUUUUUUUCUCGUUUGCGCGGGCAUAUGCGUGGGUUUUUUCGAGGAAGCUGCAUUAAGCAACCAUAAAAGGCUACGCAAGGUAAGCCUUUUGCCGU